rnacentral:rRNA from 1 species
AGAAUCAACGCUGGCGGCGUGCCUAACACAUGCAAGUCGAACGAGAAAGUGGAGCAAUCCAUGAGUAAAGUGGCGCACGGGUGAGUAACACGUGACUAACCUACCCUUGAGUGGGGAAUAACUUCGGGAAACCGAGGCUAAUACCGCAUAACACCUACGGGUCAAAGGAGCAAUUCGCUUAAGGAGGAGGUCGCGGCAGAUUAGUUAGUUGGCGGGGUAAUGGCCCACCAAGACGGUGAUCUGUA